CCAAAAAAAAUUUUAGUUAACAUUAAUAGCAUUUUAUUAUUGCUAUUGUGAAAAAAUUUAUGAAUGGGAAGAAAAAAUCAAUAAUACCGCUAUACUUAGAUGAAAAGUACACGAGCGCCAUAUAUUCGCUCGUUAAGAUAACAAUUUCUUUGCUUAAGUUAAAUGAAAAAAAAAAUCAGAGCCACCACGAGACUUAGAAAAAAAAAGAGACACUGAAACUCUACUUUUAUCAAUUUCCUUAUUUCCUAGUGUCUAAAGUCUGAGUCUCUGAGACAGAACAGAGAAGAGAAGAGGCGAGACGAAACAAAGAUAGACAGGAGAGAGAGCUUGGGUCGUGUCUUGCUUCGUCUAAGAUAACCAGUGCUUGGGUUGGGUCGGGUCGGGUCUUGCUUUCUCUCCGCCAUUUUCGCCUCUGCUUCGUAGAUCUGCUGUGUUCGAGCUCCAUCGCCGCUUGUACCGGGGUUUCAUUCGAGCGAGAAGAAAAGGAAGAAGAUGGAUUUGGUCCACAGACACGGGAAGAGACAACCUGCCUCUUGAGCUUCCAAUCUAAGGAGACAUAGGAGAUGGAGACAGAGAGAAGCAGAAGUAGAGCUGGAGAAAACAUAGUUGGAGUUUCAGACUCAAAACGAGAGAAGUCAGAAGAGCAAGGUAUUUGGAUGGACAAGAGGAACUCAGGAGUUUUUGAUUUUUCUGAAGUUAAAGAAGUGAAACAUAAAGUAGAAGAAGAAGACAAACAUGGAGAUGAUUAUGAACCGGAUCUACUCUACCUUGUACAUUCUUGCUUACUUCUUCACCAGGAGACAGGGGUGAUGGAGAUGGAGAGAAAAAGAAGGGUGUCUCUAUAUUUUCAGGAAGAGGAAGAUGAGAAUGACAAAGUGACUGUAGGCAAAUAACUCAGAGCCGUGUAUCAGAGAGAAAUUAUGAAUAUACACAGAUCUUGACAUUGUUAUGAAGAAGCUUUGUUGAUUUCUCAAGACCUGUUCGUUCAAUUGCCUUAAAGAAUCAGGUCAGCUUUGUGUUGCUGUUGGUGCUCUGUUAGUAACUACCAUCUUCUUCUUCUCUAGCAAGUAGUGGUCAUUACAUUCUUCUUUUCUAUUUGAAAUCUGCUGAGGUUCUUUAGUCUUAAAUUUUUGAUAUAUUAAUCUUCAGUAUUCGACUUGCUUUCUUGUUUGCGGUUUAUGUAGGUUUCUAACUUGCUGCAAAUUCACUAAGUCCUCGUGUUCAAGGGCUAGAUUCUGAGCUUGGUGUUGACGGUUUUCUAUCAUAUGUUAUGAAGUAAUAAUGACUGCUGCUACGGGUGGAGUACUGUCAAUGUCUACAGAAACCUUGCUGCAACGUAAGAAAGGGUGCUAAGAACGGAUCAUUUGAUGUGGAGUAAGAACUGCAUCAUCUUCUCUCUUUUUUUCUUUGCAAAUGAGACUUGUGUUCUUCGUUUGAGAUUUGUAACUUUGAAUUGUAUCUCCCUUGGAAUUAUGACAAAAAUGUUGUGUGGGAUAAUAUAUUUUCUAUUAUGGAAUACAAUUUCAGCUUCAUUAC